rnacentral:rRNA from 1 species
GAUGAACGCUAGCUACAGGCUUAACACAUGCAAGUCGAGGGGAAACGAUAGAGAAAGCUUGCUUUUUCUAGGCGUCGACCGGCGCACGGGUGAGCAACGCGUAUCCAACCUGCCCAUCACUUGGGGAUAACCUUGCGAAAGUAAGACUAAUACCCAAUGAUAUCUCUAGAAGACAUCUGAAGGAGAUUAAAGAUUUAUCGGUGAUGGAUGGGGAUGCGUCUGAUUAGCUUGUUGGCGGGGUAACGGCCCACCAAGGCGACGAUCAGUAGGGGUGCUGAGAGGAAGGUCCCCCGCAUUGGAACUGAGACACGGUCCAAACUCCUACGGGAGGCAGCAGUGAGGAAUAUUGGUCAAUGGACGAGAGUCUGAACCAGCCAAGUAGCGUGCAGGAUAACGGCCCCAUGGGUUGUAAACUGCUUUUAUAAGGGAAUAAAGUGGGAGUCGUGACUCCUUUUGCAUGUACCUUAUGAAUAAGGACCGGCUAAUUCCGUGCCAGCCGCCGCGGUAA